rnacentral:sRNA from 22 species
AAAACAUAGAACAAAAAAUAAGCGUAGUGAUACUACUAGGAACCACCUCCUUGGCCAGCUCAAUCUCCCUUGAGCUGGCUUUUCU